AAAUAAUUAUUAUAUAGUAUAUAUAUAUAAAUGUUAGCCAAAAAAUGAUUAUAAGAAAGAAAAUUUAGUUUGUAAUGUAUAUAUCUAAAAAUGCUAAUAAUUAAAAGCUAAUCUAAAAUAAAUACUAAAUAUGUGUAAAAAUUAUUGUAAGAAAGAAAAUUUGUAUGUACAUAUAUGCAUACAUGUAUAUAUAAAUGCUAAAAAUUGAAACCCAUCCUAAAAUAAUUACUUUAGGUUUGUAAAAAUAGGAAGCCAAAAUGGAACCAUAAUGUAUAAACAUAUAAAUUAAAAAGUAAUAAAAUAAAUAAAAAUAAAAUAAGAAUUUAAUUGGUUUAUUUAUAAGGAAAAAGCAAAUGACGAGCUGAUGCACUAGUUUUCUGAAACCAAUGGCUAACCAACAAAUAACAGAUGGCUAACCAAACAAAUAGCCAAUGAAUAGGACGCCGUUAACCAAUGAGUAACAGACAGUUUUCCAAAAUAGUUGGCGAAUUAGACGACGUGUAGUAAAAGAGGAGAAAUGGCUACUUAUUUCCUUAGGCUGGAACAAAAACAACCUAUCGAACAACUAAUGCAUUAAUUAGUGAUAAUGUAAAAUAAUGAUAACAGAUAGCUGUGUUUUGUAAUUAACCGGUGACUUAACCGAUAGGUUGCUUACAGUAUAACUAUAAUAUAUAAUAGUGAAAGCAACUUCGAAAGGAGGAAGAAACAAGUUGACAAAAAGAAAAGCCGCAAGUUCAAAUGUUUGACACGAUGGAUACGUAAAUAUAUUUUGGAGUAAACUUGAAGUAUCUAAUUAUUAUCAGCAGUUUUCCCAAUACUCGGUUAUUAUUGUCCUGAACCUCUGAUAGCUGGAGGAUGGCUUUAACUGACCAAACUACUUACCAACUUUAACAAAGUUGUGGUUAGUUUACCUACAGAUAGUUUGAUUAUUAUGAAUGCGUGGGGAAAACAGUUCAUAAAACUUUCAGUGUGAACAUGCAAAAACUGUGUUAAUGUUAUGAGCCAUGUACGUAUAAUUCGAAGGGACUGUGCCGUUUGUGCUCGGGUGGCACGCAUUGAGUUAUUUUUGUAACAGCUCUCUGCUACGCAAUUCGGCAUUCUUUUUCACUCAGAAAUUCCUUUCACUGCUUCAAAGGAAUAUUUACAUUAUGAUCGAAAAUUUAAAUUUUAUUACUCGGUUUUUGUUUGUAAUAUGCAUAUAUGCAAAUAAUGCAAAUAUACAUAAUAAUUAAUUAAUUAAAAUUAGUGAUAAAAGAGUUCCCGCCUAUUCAGCUGAUUUUUUCUAUAGAUUUUACAGCUGACAACUGUUAUUUCCUGUUCUGGUUAGAAAUUAGCCAACACUACUUCUUUCGGUAAAGUUUACCAGAACUUAACUGACAGAUAGUUGCUAACCAGAUAUUGCCAUAUGAUACAGUCAUAUUUUAUAAAAUACAAAACAAAACUAACAAAUAACCAAUAUCACAGUUUAUUGCAAUAGUUAUCAUAAAAAUAAAUAUAAUAUAAUAGACAGCGAUUUUUAAGAAUCAUCAAUAUGUAGUCUUCUUUGACAAUAUCGUUAGCAAUAAAUUAUCCAGACAACAUCUGUUGCCUGCCGGGACGUAAUGUAAACUUUGCUACGAACGGAAUAUUGUAACGGAUUUCUAGACCAUUGUAUAAAUCUACAAGCUACCAAUCUUAAGAUUUUCACUAAACACACGCAAAAAUGUCCCACUGGUACGCGUUGCCUAAAAAAUUAUAUUACUAAAAUCACACUUACGGGAACGGGUAGUACGGGUUGCCUACUUAUAUUGUACUACUAAAGUCACACUUAGUACGGGUUACCAACCAAUAUUCUACUACUAAAACGUCCAAAUGACACAAAUCUGCUAGUGUUGCCGUGUUAUGUUUUAAAAUUUAUAACUUUAAGAAUGUUUUUAUUACAUAUUACAAUAUUUUUCUGUUGUUGUAAAUCCUAAAGAUUAAAUUAACAUAGUAUUAUUAAAAUUAUUAUUAAUUGUAUGGAAAUAUUGUUAAAUGUUUACAAUUUUAUCAAAUAUAUUAUUGUGUAACGGUGAUUUAGAAUAUUUUGUAAAAAUUAUUUAUUACUUAGUAGAUUGUUUAAUUAUUGUUAUUGGUCCUGAUUUUUAUAUAUUUAUUUUCGUUUUUGUUCAAAUCAAGUUGAAUAUUUCAAUAUGUCAUUAAUAUUCAUGAACCUGAUUCAUGUACCUGAUUUUAUAUAUACAUCUUUUCGAGUUAUAAUUGUUAUGAAAACGCUUAUACAAUGUUCUAGAUAAAUCGUUAUUUUGUAACUGACACUUGAGUUCAUUGUAUACAAUGUAUUGGAUUAUAAUCCUACAAGUAACCAAAGAAUCAGUUGUUUUGCUAUGUAUAUAAGACAGCUGAGAUUACUGAAUCGAAAUCUGCCUUUUAUGACACAGAGAUGUAUAUAAAAAGAGUGUAGUUAUAAACUAUUUUGUGAACGGGUAUUUGUAAUGGAAAGGAAACUUUUGUAUGCCACCCAGGCUUUCGGGGAUAAUAAAAAUAUAACCCUGUUCAGUCCAACACUGGGGUUUAUCAAAUGUAGGAAACUAAAAGACUUCUUAGUGUCAAUCAACAAUUUUGAUUCCUGUAUCUAGGGUAUAAUCUCUCUUUUUAAUGUGUACUUAAAAUAGUUGAAAUUUUCAACUUUAAACGUAAAUAUUUUGAAAACUAUAAGUUUCCCGCGGCUAUAUCUUUAUAUAUUCUUCUUCAUUUCUUCAGUAUUUUUUUUUUCACAAGAUAAUGUUAAGCUCGAUGAACUGGUAAUUACAACUAAGUGAUUUGAAUUGCAAAGGGCGUUAAAUAUAUAUGUAAAUAUAUACAUAAAUUUUUGAAAAAUUCACUCUCCACUCACGGGCUUGUAAUCUUCUAAAAUUAAUUUUUGAGGUCCCCUUAGUUGGGGGACCUAAACUAUACAUUUACCAAAUAUUUUUGAAAGUUUUCAUUAAUGUUUUCCAUUACAAAUACCCGUGCACAAAAAAGUGAUUAAGUUACAUUUCUUUUAUUUACAUCAAUGUGUCGAAAAAGGCAGAUUUCAAUCAGGUGAUCUCAGCUGUGUUACACACAUAGGAAAAAAACUGAUUUUUUGGUUACUUGUAGAAUUAUACAAUGCCUUCAGUGUUUUGAACAUGGAUAAAAUGAUUCAACUCUUUGAUUCGAGAGAGCGCUGUCACAGUCCACAUUUUUUAUAACAUUUGAUAGUG